rnacentral:rRNA from 1 species
AUGAACGCUGGCGGCGUGCUUAACACAUGCAAGUCGAACGGAAAGGCUCCUGCUUGCCGGGGUACUCGAGUGGCGAACGGGUGAGUAACACGUGGGUGAUCUGCCCUGCACUUCGGGAUAAGCCUGGGAAACUGGGUCUAAUACCGGAUAGGACCACAUUUUGGAUGGUGUGGUGGAAAGUUUUUCGGUGUGGGAUGAGCUCGCGGCCUAUCAGCUUGUUGGUGGGGUAAUGGCCUACCAAGGCGUCGACGGGUAGCCGGCCUGAGAGGGUGUACGGCCACAUUGGGACUGAGAUACGGCCCAGACUCCUACGGGAGGCAGCAGUGGGGAAUAUUGCACAAUGGGCGCAAGCCUGAUGCAGCGACGCCGCGUGGGGGAUGACGGCCUUCGGGUUGUAAACUCCUUUCGCUAGGGACGAAGCGUUUUUGUGACGGUACCUGGAGAAGAGGCACCGGCUAACUACGUG